rnacentral:lncRNA from 1 species
UAAAAUUUUAAAAUUUCAUUGUUUUUCCCAUAUAACUUUUUUUACUUUUAAUCCCAUAAAUUUUUUCAAUAAGCCAUUUUUGUUCCUGUUAUUAAGUCGAUCAACUUCCCUCAAAAAUAAUUAAGUCGAUCAACUUGUGUGUAUUGUUCAAAUUUUUUACACACAUGUUUAUUUGUUUAAUUUUUUGAGAGGUACACACAUGUUUAUAACAUCAUAAACAUCCCUCUCACAAAAAUUUAAACAUUUUUUUACUAUAGAUGAAUUAAAUAUAAAUUUUUGAGGUCAAAAUAACAAAAGUACCGAUAUAAAAUUCAAAUUUUAAACGAGAACGUUUGGUAAGACUUCUAUUGUAACACAUGCAGUUAUCUACAAUGCUUGGUAGCAUUCCGAUAAGUUCUCAAUUCAUUUUGAUUUUAUUGGCAGUGGGAAGCCAUAAUAGGGCUUGGAUGGGCCACGACCUUCUCCAUCAAAGAGCAAAAUACACACCGAGAGACUAAUCUCAG